UACGUAGGGUGCGAGCGUUGUCCGGAUUUAUUGGGCGUAAAGGGCUCGUAGGCGGCGUGUCGCGUCGGGAGUGAAAGCCCGUUGCUUAACGGCGGGUUGGCUUUCGGUACGGGCAUGCUGGAGUGCGGCAGGGGAGAACGGAAUUCCGUGGUGUAGCGGUGAAAUGCGCAGAUAUCAGGAGGAACACCGGUGGCGAAGGCGGUUCUCUGGGCCUGAUACUGACGCUGAGGAGCGAAAGCGUGGGGAGCGAA
rnacentral:rRNA from 1 species